rnacentral:snRNA from 1 species
GGCGCAGACGCUAACGUGCGCUGAG